rnacentral:rRNA from 1 species
UACGUAGGGUGCGAGCGUUGUCCGGAAUUACUGGGCGUAAAGAGCUCGUAGGUGGUUUGUCGCGUUGUUCGUGAAAACUCACAGCUUAACUGUGGGCGUGCGGGCGAUACGGGCAGACUGGAGUACUGCAGGGGAGACUGGAAUUCCUGGUGGUAGCGGUGGAAUGCGCAGAUAUCAGGAGGAACACCGGUGGCGAAGGCGGGUCUCUGGGCAGUGAACUGACGCUGGAGGAGCGAAGGCGUGGGGAGCGAACAGG